rnacentral:rRNA from 1 species
UGGGGAAUUUUGGACAAUGGGCGAAAGCCUGAUCCAGCAAUGCCGCGUGUGUGAAGAAGGCCUUCGGGUUGUAAAGCACUUUUGUCCGGAAAGAAAUCCUUGGCUCUAAUACAGUCGGGGGAUGACGGUACCGGAAGAAUAAGCACCGGCUAACUACGUGCCAGCAGCCGCGGUAAUACGUAGGGUGCAAGCGUUAAUCGGAAUUACUGGGCGUAAAGCGUGCGCAGGCGGUUUGCUAAGACCGAUGUGAAAUCCCCGGGCUCAACCUGGGAACUGCAUUGGUGACUGGCAGGCUAGAGUAUGGCAGAGGGGGGUAGAAUUCCACGUGUAGCAGUGAAAUGCGUAGAGAUGUGGAGGAAUACCGAUGGCGAAGGCAGCCCCCUGGGCCAAUACUGACGCUCAUGCACGAAAGCGUGGGGAGCAAACAGGAUUAGAUACCAUGGUAGUCCACGCCCUAAACGAUGUCAACUAGUUGUUGGGGAUUCAUUUCUUAGUAACGUAGCUAACGCGUGAAGUUGACCGCCUGGGGAGUACGGUCGCAAGAUUAAAACUCAAAGGAAUUGACGGGGUCAUAGCUG